GAUAUACGCUAGCGGCAGGCUUAACACAUGCAAGUCGAGGGGCAGCAUAGAUUGUAGCAAUACAAUUGGUGGCGACCGGCGCACGGGUGCGUAACGCGUAUGCAACCUACCCGUCACAGGGGGACAAUCCGGAGAAAUCUGGUCUAAUACCCCUUAACAUCUGGAUCGGCAUCGGUUCAUGUUGAAAUUUUCGGAGGUGACGGAUGGGCAUGCGUAGCAUUAGUUUGUUGGUGAGGUAACGGCUCACCAAGGCGACGAUGCUUAGGGGGACUGAGAGGUUUUCCCCCCACACUGGUACUGAGGCACGGACCAGACUCCUACGGGAGGCAGCAGUGAGGAAUAUUGGUCAAUGGGCGCAAGCCUGAACCAGCCAUGCCGCGUGCAGGAUGACGGCUCUAUGAGUUGUAAACUGCUUUUGUACGAGGGUAAAGUGGGUUACGUGUAACCUUUUGAAAGUAUCGUACGAAUAAGGAUCGGCUAACUCCGUGCCAGCAGCCGCCGUAA
rnacentral:rRNA from 1 species